CCUACGGGAGGCUGCAGUCGAGAAUAUUCCGCAAUGCACGAAAGUGUGACGGAGCGACGCCGCGUGUCGAAAGAAGGCCUUCGGGUCGUAAACGACUUUUAUCAGGGACGAAUUUUGACGGUACCUGAAGAAUAAGGGGUUGCUAACUCUGUGCCAGCAGCAGCGGUAAUACAGAGACCCCGAGCAUUAUCCGGAUUUAUUGGGCGUAAAGAGUCUGUAGGUGGUUUCGUAAGUCAUUUGUUAAAUCUUCAGGCUUAACCUGGAGGCUGCAGGUGAUACUGCGAGGCUUGAGUAUGGGAGAGGCAAGCGGAAUGCCCGGUGUAGCGGUAAAAUGCGUUAAUAUCGGGUAGAACACCAAAGGCGAAAGCAGCUUGCUGGAACAUUACUGACACUGAGAGACGAAAGCGUGGGUAGCGAAAGGGAUUAGAUACCCUAGUAGUC
rnacentral:rRNA from 1 species